rnacentral:rRNA from 1 species
GGCCUGUAGUUAUUUAUUUCAGGUUAGGCCUGCUCAAUGGUGAAUUAAAUAACUAAAUAGCCGCAGUAUACUGACUGUGCGAAGGUAGCAUAAUCAUUUGUCUAUUAAUUGUAGGCUAGUAUGAAGGGUUUGAUGAAAUAUUUGCUUUCUUUAAUUAUACUAUUGAUGAAUUUAAUAUUUGGGUUAAAAAGCUUAAAUUCAUAAUUGGGACGAGAAGACCCUAUAGAGUUUAUAUUCAUGUUUGUUAUAUUAGUUUAUUAUGGUAUAAUUAAUUAAUAUAAGGUGAAUUUUGUUGGGGUGACAAGGGGAUUUAUUUAACUCCUCUUAUAAUUAAUUAUUAUUGAUUUGUAUAUAUAUAAUCCUGUUAUUAUGGAAUAAAGGUUAAAUUACCUUAGGGAUAACAGCGUAAUUUCUUCGGAGAGUUCUUAUCGAUGAAGAAGUUUGCGACCUCGAUGUUGGAUUAAAAUGUGUGAUUGGUGUAGCAGCUAAUUUACUAGGUCUGUUCGACCUUUAAAGUUUUACAUGAUCUGAGUUCAACCCCGGAGGG